CAGUCUUGAGGCAAAACAAAACAAAACAAAAAGAAGCACCAUCGAUCCGCAUUCUACCCAACAAUUCCGGGCGCAGCCCUCACCCGCCGCCUCCAUCCGCAACCCCCCGAAGCCCUGGCGGCUCGUCUGCCGGCUCACCGUCCAACUCCGGUGGAACGGCCCCAUCUAGACCUUGCCGGAUGAUGCACCGCCUGCAGCCGUCUUUUUCUCGCCCGUGACAUCAAGCGCAGCUCCUCCCCGUUCCAUGGGCACCGGCAGCCUCCAAUCCAUGGACCGUCGACCCCAUCUCGAGUUCUCCGCGGCCAGUCCCUCCUCCUCCCUCAUCCUAAUGCGUCUUCAUCUUCGAUUGCCGCGCUGCUCACACCCGGGUCACCCCCUUGUGCUUCGAUUCAGAGCACCCACCAAGAUGACGGUCAUGGAGAAGAUGGGGAAACGGCAUGGGUAUGAGGAGCCGCUGAUCUCGUCGUCGAGCCCCACGAGCGGAGCUGCAAGUGGACGACGCACCACAGGGAGGAGGGGGACCACGAGCAGGCCGUCCAGCCUGAUCUGGAGCUCGACGUCCAGCCGCACGAAAGUUAUCUAUUAUGAACUCGUGAAUGCUGCAGAUGAUGAUUUUUCUUACCAUGGAUAGACCGAGGACAGCCGUAUCCUGCACCUCCUCCCUAGCGUCCUUGCACGGCUCUUGCUCCGAGUGGAUGGAGCUGGUUGUGGACGCGAACAACAACACUGAGGGGGACGACCUGGACUUGCUCAACGAGGAGCUCACCCCGUUCCAUCUUGAGCUCAAGGGAGACUUUGUGACGACGACGACACACAUAAAGAGAGGAUCCAUCUCAUAGAAAUAAUCACCAGCAAGGUGAAACUGCUCAAAUCCAACGGCCCCAAUCUAGCACCUUUUUUGCUCUUUCGCUGCCUUAGCCAUCAAGCAAAUACUGUUGGUAAUAUCGGAUUCAAGCACCUGCUUCUGCUCUAUCACCACCAUCGUGCCUAAAGGAGAACUUGUGCCUUGAUGGAUAUCCCAGUAAGACAUGGCGGAUGGAUGAUCAGAGCCUCGGGGAUGGGUUCACUAACCCUGGUGAAGCCAUUUAAGUCAUCUUUCUGUCCCGAUUCUCAUUUUCAUAUGGAUAAAAAAAUGUGCUCCUGCAUAUGGAUAACGACUCUUGUUUAUUUCGUUCAGCCAAGGUAAUCAAGGAUCGUGAAACUUGAAGGUUUGGUUCCAUAACGUACAGUUCGGCGGAGGAGGCUGGAGAUGCCAUUCCCGGAAUGGAUGGGAAGGGGCUGAGUAUAACAUGAAGCUGCCGUCUUCAAGUGAUGGUCAUUUCUCCAGCCAGUGGGAGGUUUGAGUGGUGAUUUGCAGUGCCGUGCCUCGUCCUCGACGCGGUGGUUGCUUCAUGGCUUCCAGUCUGGAGGCAUGCUGAAGAUGAGCAUGGAGCUACGAGGCAUGUGCGGCUGCUUGAUCUGGUGGCUAUUGGGAUGUGAGUUCAUGGCGUGGUUUGUCCCUGCCAGGUUGGGCCCACAUCUAGGGAUGGCAGCGGUGCCUUACUGAUGAGUUGUGGGUUGCAAACACACCGCAAGCAAAGAUCUGGGUGCAACCCGGAUCCAUCCGGUGGGUUCAGUCCUGAUGGUGAGCGUGUCGACAACAGAGUUGAAGUGCGUGAUGAAGUCGACAUGAAGUAGGCGGGAGGACCUUCGCCAGAGACGUCCGUUGUGGUUGCACGGCAGGGUAGCAACCCGAAGGAUGUGGUCGGUGGAUCUACAUCAGAAAAAUCUAGCAAGUUCCUUAUGUACGGAGUUACUCCCUAUCCUAAGUCCCACCGAGGCAAACUCGAGCUUUAUCAUCAUCUUUGAGGUGAUUUUGGGUUUCACAAUUUCGAUAUUUGAUAGUGGAAGCUUGCAAGUGUUGCAGUUUUGGAAUAUGGUUCUCUAAAGUGAGCGAGGCCUUGCUGUUGUAGAUGUAGCACUGUAGGAGGAACACAUUGGCUCCGGAUUUAUUGUUGUGCUUCAUCUUUCUUCUCAAGACAAUGGAGUUUCUUGAAAAAGAGCUUGUUUGCAAAUGGUGAUCAUUCUCCUGCUCUUGAGAUUUACUUUGGGAAAAGUUGUUGGAGAACGAGCACAAAAUUCUGGCUUUUGUGAUGGUGGAGAGGGGAGCGGAUCCAUCGGCCUCAUGGGCCUCGUCUUCAUUCUGCGCAUGCUCUGCCUUGGUGGCGUCCCCUUGAAGGUGUAUGAGCAUUCCAGGAUUGUUGUUGUGAGGUUCCAAGGUGCACAGAGCUGUAGUACCUGGUGUCAACCGUGCCCGCUUUUAUCAUCUCAAUUUUUUCUUCGUAGGAAAGGCAAUUUGGCACCUUCCUAAACUCUCAUGACAUCAUAUUUGGAAGAUUUUCGGUGUGGAUCUUUUGCAAGUCAAUUCGAGUUCUAGAAAUGGAUACUACCUUAGAAUAUGACACAAUUGUAUGUCAUGUGCUUAUAUUUUAUGAAUCUCAUUAAGAAUUAUCUUUUAAUUAAAUUGUACCUUACUUUGAUUUAUGUUUCAUUGUUUGUAAAAAUCUGGUUCUUUAAUAUCAUUAAGUAUGGUCUCGCAUUACACAAUCAUCCCUCUUGCUUGACAAGAGUUUAGUUGUAGAAAUUUUGUAUUGAUUAAAAAUAAUGAAGCAUAUAAAGGAACUAAGGAACAAUAAUUUGUUUUGCUUGGUCCUAGGAAUAAAUCCAUAUAUGUACCAUGGUACACAAAAUACUUGUCUUUGCUUUUGUCAUAUCAGUUGAGCGGUACUAUUAUUUCACUAGAACACCUUCCAAGCUAUAAACAAUUAUAAUUGUCAAUUACUGAACAUGCUUUGUGCCAGUGUUGAUGCUUUGUCUUGCCUGGUAUAUCUUGAAUGUGUGUUAAUAGUUUCUUGUGCCAUGGAGUUGAAUAUGUUUUCUCUUGUUGUUGUGCAAGUGAUGGACGAGCCGAGCUUCUUGGACCAGUGGUAGUUGCUAGAGCAGCACACGGAGCAGCAGAUUGCCAUGGUGUUUGUGAAGGGGGAAGUGGAUGCUGCCCUGACGCAGCAGGGGAGAAGUGGAGCUGCUGCCAGCCAGGAGGUAGCCAUGGCCGCCGACUACUUCAUCCUUCACUUCCGCCUGUGUUGCCAUGCAAAUGGUGUAGGCGACAAUAUUGGAGCUCUGGUACAUGUGUUGGAGGCUCGUUGGACCGAAUAAAAUGGGAGUCUCAUGAAUAGUUUUUGGACCGAUAGUAUUUUGGUGGCGGUGGUGACGAAGGAACGUACUUCACAGGUACCCUGUGAGUAGUUUUGUUGUAUUCCGGUACCACAUGCGAUGCUCGCGAGAUCCCGGAUGACAGCCACCAAUUGCAAGGUGUUGGAUGAUAUGGCGGGCGUCGGGCUGCCACGUCUUAAAUGCCAUGCUGUAGAUGUGCCUCAAGGAUGGGGGGUGAGCAUGCGUCAAUGGGAGCUGGGCUCCAAGUCACCCUUGGGACCAAGAAUAAGUAGCUAGGAUAAAAGAUUCAGUUAUAGACGUUUAUCUAAUCGAGACAGGAGAAACUUUCAAAUGCACGUUAGUUCUGUUGAAAAAUAAGUAUAUUAGUCAUAGCAAGCAUUUCAUUCUUGUAGAGUAAAUAAUUGGAUUUUGAUUGAGUUAUUUUUCUAAGGGAAAAAGGAGAAGGCAGAUUCAAAAUCUUUUUUCUUCGUACUUUCCCAAACACAAAAUACCUCCUUGUAUUCGCACUCUCGAAUGUGAGUGGAAUAAAUUCGACUUUCAUAUAAUAUCUUAAUAGAAUUCCAUGUAAUGAUCAAUGCAUUUUUUUGAUUCUAUAUUAUCUGCAUGUCUAGAAUACUAGCAAGAGAAUAUUCCUCAUUUUUUAUAUAAUUGAAAU